UUUGUUCUGUUCUCGGUUGUCCAUCGGG
rnacentral:piRNA from 1 species